rnacentral:rRNA from 1 species
UAAUACAGAGGGUGCGAGCGUUAAUCGGAAUGACUGGGCGUAAAGGGCGAGUAGGCGGUUAUGUAGGUGUAGUGUGAAAGUUUAUGGCUUAACCAUAAAAGGUCACUGCAAACGGCAUGACUAGAGAGCAGUAGAGGGGAGUGGAAUUUCCGGAGGAGCGGUGAAAUGCGUAGAUCUCGGAAGGAACACCGGUGGCGAAGGCGACUUUCUGGACUGUAACUGACGCUGAGGAGCGAAAGCGUGGGUAGCGAACAGGAUUAGAUACCCUGGUAGUCCACGCAGUAAACGAUGAAUACUGGACGUUAGUGAUAUAAGGUCACUAGUGUCGAAGCAAACGCGCUAAGUAUUCCGCCUGGGGAGUACGGCCGCAAGGUUG